UACGUAGGGUCCGAGCGUUGUCCGGAAUUACUGGGCGUAAAGCGCGCGCAGGCGGCCCGCGAGGUGUCACGUGAAAGCCCCGGGCUCAACCCGGGAGGGUCGUGGCAAACCGGCGGGCUUGAGGCCGGUAGAGGUGGGUGGAACUCCUGGUGGAGUGGUGAAAUGCGUAGAGAUCAGGAAGAACACCCGUGGCGAAGGCGGCUCUCUGGAACGCAACUGACGCUGAGACGCGAAAGCGUGGGGAGCAAACAGG
rnacentral:rRNA from 1 species